ensembl:lncRNA
GAUGUAGCUUUAUUACUGGGUUAAUGAUAGCAGCAAUGCCAGGACUGCUGAGGACUCCUGUGUGCCAGGAGGGCGCAGAGCAUUGCCCCUGCCCAUCCUGGUUUAAUCCUCACCUGAAUCCUAGGGGCAGGGACAUUUCUGUCAUGCCGUUCACAGACGAGGAAACGGGCUCAGAGGACACGAAGGGCUUUCUCCAGUCUCAACGCUAAAAUGGCAGGCCUGGGGAUUUGAAGCCUGUCUCUGGGUGAGAUCUGAGCCUUGCCUAUAGCACGAGGAUGGAAGAAAAAGUGGAGCUUUUCUUCCCACUUACUGGAGACGCUUUUGAGGUUGGAUUUUUGCCUUGGAUUUGGCCUUGACCCUCAGUAUGUAAAUCCGCAGAGGAAAGACUGGGCCUUCCUGACACUCCUGCUCUCUCAGGAUUUCCUUCUCAGGAUCGGAGCCCACAGGUCAGACGAGGACUUGAACUCUCAUCUACUGCUCUAGCUGCCAUAUCUUUUCCAACUGUUUCCCUUUCCUUUCGCCUAGUUGGUUAUUUACAGAAAUAACACAGCAUAGGAGAGGCUAAGAAUGAAGGAGAGCGAGCAAAUAAGAAUGAAUGCAAGAGAGAAUGAAAAGGGACAAACGAGAGUGAAGAAGAGACGAUUAAGGGAAGAGAGAGAGGGUGAAAGGAAAAGAAAAAGAGAACAAGAAAGAUCAGGCUGUGAAGUCACCCAGACGUGGUUUGAAUCGUUGCUUUUACUGGCUGUACCAUUUUGAGUAAAGCUCUCUAAUUCAGUUCCGCAUCGUAGAACAAGGGUGGUCCUGUUUAGAGGAUUGUCCUGAGGAUCAAAUAGAAUAUUGUCUAUGCCUUUCCUGCCACCCAAUGAGCGCUUAAUAAACCUCCCUCCUUCCUUCCUCCGCUCUCCUUCCUUCUUUCCUUCCUUCCUGCUUUCCUUCCUUUCUUCCUUCCUUCUUUCCUUCCUUUCUUCCUUCCCUCCUUCCCUUCCCCCUUUCUCCCCGACUCCCCUCAUCAAGGACCACCUAAACCCCUGGCACAAUUCAAGACAUCUCUACAAAUGUUGCCAGUUUAGUCCUUGAAACAACUCAUGAAUUACAUGGCAUUAUAUUCUCAUUUUACGAUGAGGCCUAGAGAGAGACAUUAUAAGCUAGGAUCAUCCAGCAGCUGACUGUCCCACCAGAAUUCCAAUGCAGAUCUGUCUUUCUCCACUCCUAACAAAAGGAAAACUAAGGUGGCCAUCUCAACUGAUGGGCGUUUAGAGUUUUCUUCUUUAGCUGCUCCACCGGAGGGCUGUUGAGAAAAUUACCCAAAUCAUGUUAAUGAGCAGUUGAGUGCCGGAGUUUCUCUGAGGCAAGGCGGUGAACAAAAUCUCUGGUUGGCAACCGUUAGCUGUGAUCAUUAUCUCAGCUGAUACCACCAAGGGGCUCUCGGCUCAAAUAAUUAACUCAACUGCCUCCUCUCAGGGGUGAAGUGGGGCUAAUAAAACUUAACCACCUAGCUUGUGGGAAAAUGAUUCUGUGCUCAGUGAGGAAGUGCUUUCAAGACCAUCUGGCGCCGAGUGGUGGAGUGGUGCUGUCGUAGAAGCUGCGAUGGUGUGUUAAUUCUCUCUCCCUCUUUCUACCCUCGUGAAACUGAGAUCCUUGAGGGUAGGACCUACGUCUGCCUUAUGUAUCCUGAACCUACCCGAGAUGAGAGAGCAAGGAUGCAGCCCCUGGAGCUGACCGUGUGCUGCUACAGCCGAGGUCGCGGUUCAUCGCAGCAACAUGUGCCGUCGUUUUGCAGACGAGGAAACAGGACUCAGCCAGCUGAAGAAAUUUGCCUAUUGUCACUCAGGAAUGGUAGAGCCAGAAAUUGGCUUCCAAAUUUCAAGACCCAUGCUGCCCUUUCUACUAGACUGUCUUUAAACCAUCGCUGUGAGUACCUGUAGCCAGGCAGACUUUGGCCCUAGAGUUCUGGGCUGAAUCUGCUAGCUCACCUUCAGGUCAGGACGCCCUCUCUCACAGAGUGUGUCUGCCCAAUGAUGGUGAAUUCUAGAGUCUUCACUGGAGGUGGACAGGAGUGGGCCAGGGAGCUGACAUGGUCUCAUCCAUUUGUCCUUGCUGGAAGGGAGUUGAAGAGCUCCUUUCUUCCCUUUUCCUCCCCGAACCAAAUAAAUAGCACUCUCCCUCCCUCUGAGAAGCGUUCAUAGAUUCCUGUAAGGUAGAGAGGUGAGAGCCACUUAGGGGCAGGCAAUUGCCUUGGGAAGAUUCUGUGUAGCUCGUGUAUUUACAGUCACGCUAUGUGACCACUGGAAUCACUUCUCUGAACCUCAAUUUCCUUAUCUAUAAAACCAGCAGGGGGAGGGGUGGGAUAAUGCCUCCAGGAAAGUAAUAUAGCCAGAGGGCAAGAGCAUGGGCUCUGAAGAUGGAUUACCAGUGUCCAAAUCUUGCUUCUGCUGGCUCUGAGACCUUGGCCAGUUUACUUAACCUCAUUGUGCCUCAGUUUCCUUUAUUGUAAAAGGGGGAUGAAAAUGAUAUUACUUACACACUGGGGCUGCUGUGAGGAUUACAUAAUUAAUACAUAUAA